GGGCAUGUAGCUCAGUUGGUAGAGCGCGUCAUUAGCAUCUCCGCCCGCCCGUUCUCAGAGCAGCGAGCAAGCAUUGCUUCAUUGACGAGGUCUUUGGUUCGAUUCCUAACUUGUCCA
rnacentral:tRNA from 1 species